rnacentral:lncRNA from 1 species
CGGAAGCAUCAACAUCGAAAGGAAAGGAGAAAGUCAUCGAGGACUAAAACGGGAGAAUUACGGUGUGUAUUACUAUAAUUCAAAUUUUAAUUAUUAUUGAUUGCUGAAAUUUUAAUUGUUAUGUAUGGUAAAUAAGACUUGAGGUAAGUAUGUGAAAUCGAUAUGAAUAUUGAGUGAAAAUGAAAGUGAUAUAAAUUGAAUCAAAUUGAAUUGAAUAAGUGAAUUAUGGAAUAUGUGAUUAUUUGAAAAGUGUAUUGAUUGAAAAUAAAUAAAUUGUGACAAAUGUAUGGUGUUGAUGGUAUACACUUGUGUGAAAAUUAAUUUGUAUAUGAAUUAAGAUAAUAGAUAUUUGAAUUGAAUGAGUAUUGAAAAUUUUUGUGUAAAUAAAAUUGAAAUUAAAAAAAUAAAAAAUAAAAUAAUACCCUAUUAACUUGUCGGACUAGAUUCGAUACAAAUGGCAUGCCAUUGGAUUUGUGAUGUGAUGAAGAGAUUGUAGUUCGGCCGAGAGGAUGUUUCUGUUAUUAUAUACUUCGGUUUAUCCGAAUAGGCAUUUAAUAUUUUAUACCGGUGUGUUACGGAGGAUUUACAAUAUUCCGGGUGUGUUUGGGUUGGACAUUCUGGUGUGUUUGGAUGGAAUCCGCGUUUCUGUCAUAGUCCGAGCUUUGUUAAUAGGGUAAAUAAUUGAAAUGAAAUUUUGAAAAUGAGAUUAUUUGUUUUAGCACUAUUGAAAAGUACGAGAAAGAAUGUAUGAACUAAAUUAUGAAUUGAGUUAGUAUGAGAAAAAUAAAUUAUGAAUUUAAGAUUUAUGAAGUAAAAUAAUUUUAUAUAAAAGUAGUUUAAAUAAUUAUAAAAUUUAUGGUUGAUGUUUGUAAUUUAUUAAUGUUAAAUAGUCUUGAUUUAUAGUAAUACCACUGAGUAUAUCCAUACUCAGCGUACGGUUGUUUCCGUGCGCAGGUUAGUAGAAGUCAAGUGUCCCGGCUCAGCAUCCAGAACAAUCCCGACUCCAACACAAACUUGGUGAUGUAUAUUUUUCUUUUGGGUAAAUGUGGCAUGUACAUAGGUGUUAUUUAGUCACUUGAAUAUGUAUAUUACUUUGGGUAGUGAAGGAUGAAUUAUAAAAUUUAGAUGGUUAAAUGAAAUGGUAAGGAAAGUACAUGAUAUUUUGAUACAUGAACAUUAAGUUGUUAAAUGAAUGAAAUUUUUAAUCAAUUUUGAAUGAUGCUAUGAUAGUUAUUAAAUUAAAAUUUUGUUAAUAAUAUAAAUAUUAGUAUAUGAAUGUGAAAUAUUGGUGUUAGUUGUUUUGGUUUGAAUUUGCAGGAG